AUAUUCUUCAUUGCUGCGAUUCUGGAAAGCGGUGGUGAUGAACUCAUGUCCGUUGAUAUGCUUUUACUUGAUUCAGACGCGAGAAAGAAAUAGAGUUCGAGCCGGAAGAUUAUCAACCAAGAAGUUCUGUCAAGGUUCAGCUGUCAGGGAGGAAGCUCCUGGUUGGAGGAGACUCACGCAACGUGAGUUCGAAGGGAGCCAAGAAAAUCUAUAAACAAGUUCAAGGAGAAGCUUCAGACUAUGAGGAGGAAAUAUACAACUACAGAAAUUACGGGUGAACAAGCUUCUGCUUCAAAUCCUCACCAACAAAAGUGCUUUCAGUUGUCAAAGGCUAUUUGGCGAUUUGGGGAGCUGAAGGGAUAGCUUUUCAAUCUGCUAAUGGGAAA